UGGGGAAUAUUGCACAAUGGGGGAAACCCUGAUGCAGCGACGCCGCGUGAAGGAUGAAGUAUUUCGGUAUGUAAACUUCUAUCAGCAGGGAAGAAAAUGACGGUACCUGACUAAGAAGCCCCGGCUAACUACGUGCCAGCAGCCGCGGUAAUACGUAGGGGGCAAGCGUUAUCCGGAUUUACUGGGUGUAAAGGGAGCGUAGACGGCUGUGCAAGUCUGGAGUGAAAACCCGGGGCUCAACCCCGGGAUUGCUUUGGAAACUGUGUGGCUGGAGUACCGGAGAGGCAAGUGGAAUUCCUAGUGUAGCGGUGAAAUGCGUAGAUAUUAGGAGGAACACCAGUGGCGAAGGCGGCUUGCUGGACGGUAACUGACGUUGAGGCUCGAAAGCGUGGGGAGCAAACA
rnacentral:rRNA from 1 species